UCCUCUACCACAGCUGUUGUUGAAACCACGACCACAGUUCCACAUGUCGAAACAACAGGUCAAGGAUCCACCACGGUUACAUCAGAACCAUCUGUGAGUACUGAAAUUACAUCUGGGUCUUUCACUACCACUAAAGGAACAGCUGCAACACCUCUACAAACAACAGCAAUUGAAUCCACGACAGCCACAAUUAUGACAACAAAAACACCAAAAAUAGUUACAUCAGGACCAACAACAUCCUCUACCACAGCUGUUGUUGAAACUACGACCACAGUUCCACAUGUUGAAACAACAGGUCAAGGAUCCACCACAGUUACAUCUAAACCAUCUGUGAGUACUGAAAUUACAUCUGGUCCUCUCACUACCACUAAAGGAACAGUUGCAACACCUGCACAAACAACAGCAUUUGAAUCCACAACAGCCACAAUUAUGACAACAAAAACACCAAAAAUAGUUACAUCAGGACCAACAACAUCCUCUACCACAGCUGUUGUUGAAACCACGACCACAGUUCCACAUGUUGAAACAACAGGUCAAGGAUCCACCACGGUUACAUCUAAACCAUCUGUGACCACUGAAAUUACAUCUGGGCCUUUCACUAACUCUAAAGGAACAGUCGCAACACCUGCACAAACAACAGCAUUUGAAUCCACAACAGCCACAGUUAUGACAACAAAAACACCAAAAAUAGUUACAUCGGGACCAACAACAUCUCUACCACAGCUGUUGUUGAAACCACGACCACAGUUCCACAUGUGGAAACAACAGGUCAAGGAUCCACCACGGUUACAUCAAACCAUCUGUGAGUACUGAAAUUACAUCUGGGUCUUUCACUACCACUAAAGGAACAGCUGCAACACCUCUACAAACAACAGCAAUGAAUCCACGACAGCCACAAUUAUGACAACAAAAACACCAAAAAUAGUUACAUCAGGACCAACAACAUCCUCUACCACAGCUGUUGUUGAAACCACGACCACAGUUCCACAUGUUGAAACAACAGGUCAAGGAUCCACCACGGUUACAUCUAAACCAUCUGUGAGCACUGAAAUUACAUCUGGGCCUUUCACUACCACUAAAGGAACAGCUGCAACACCUGCACAAACACAGCAUUUGAAUCCACAACAGCCACAAUUAUGACAACAAAAACACCAAAAUAGUUACAACGGGACCAACAACAUUCUCUACCACAGCUAUUGUUGAAUCCACGACCACAGUUCCACAUGUUGAAACAACAGGUCAAGGAUCCACCACGGUUACAUCAAAACCAUCUGUGAGUACUGAAAUUACAUCUGGGCCUUUCACUACCACUAAGGAACAGCUGCAACACCUACAGAGACAACAGCAUAUGAAUCCACAACAGCCACAAUUAUGACAACCAAAACACCAAAAAUAGUUACAUCAGGACCAACAACAUUCUCUACCACAGCUAUUGUUGAAACCACGACCACAGUUCCACAUGUUGAAACAACAGGUCAAGGAUCCACCACGGUUACAUCUAAACCAUCUGUGAGCACUGAAAUUACAUCUGGGCCUUUCACUACCACUAAAGGAACAGCUGCAACACCUCUACAAACAACAGCAUUUGAAUCCACAACAGCCACAAUUAUGACAACAAAAACACCAAAAAUAGUUACAUCAGGACCAACAACAUCCUCUACCACAGCUGUUGUUGAAACCACGACCACAGUUCCACAUGUUGAAACAACAGGUCAAGGAUCCACCACGGUUACAUCUAAACCAUCUGUGAGUACUGAAAUUACAUCUGGGCCUUUCACUACCUCUAAAGGAACAGCUGCAACACCUGCACAAACAACAGCAUUUGAAUCCACAACAGCCACAGUUAUGACAACAAAAACACCAAAAUAGUUACAUCGGGACCAACAACAUCCUCUACCACAGCUGUUGUUGAAACCACGACCACAGUUCCACAUGUGGAAACAACAGGUCAAGGAUCCACCACGGUUACAUCUAAACCAUCUGUGAGUACUGAAAUUACAUCUGGACCUUUCACUACCACUAAAGGAACAGCUGCAACACCUACAGAGACAACAGCAUUUGAAUCCACAACAGCCACAAUUAUGACAACAAAAACACCGAAAAUAGUUACAUCAGGACCAACAACAUCCUCUACCACAGCUGUUGUUGAAACCACGACCACAGUUCCACAUGUGGAAACAACAGGUCAAGGAUCUACCACGGUUACAUCAAAACCAUCUGUGAGUACUGAAAUUACAUCUGGGCCUUUCACUACCUCUAAAGGAACAGCUGCAACACCUGCACAAACAACAGCAUUUGAAUCCACAACAGCCACAGUUAUGACAACAAAAACCCCAAAAAUAGUUACAUCAGGACCAACAACAUCAUCUACCACAGCUGUUGUUGAAACCACGACCACAGUUCCCAUGUUGAAACAACAGGUCAAGGAUCCACCACGGUUACAUCAAAACCAUCUGUGAGUACUGAAAUUACAUCUGGGUCUUUCACUACCACUAAAGGAACAGCUGCAACACCUCUACAAACAACAGCAAUUGAAUCCACAACAACAACAGUUAUGACAACAAAAACACCAAAAAUAGUUACAAUGGGACCAACAACAUUCUCUACCACAGCUAUUGUUGAAACCACGACCACAGUUCCACAUGUUGAAACAACAGGUCAAGGAUCCACCACGGUUACAUCAAACCAUCUGUGAGUACUGAAAUUACAUCUGGGUCUUUCACUACCACUAAAGGAACAGCUGCAACACCUCUACAAACAACAGCAACUGAAUCCACAACAACCACAGUUAUGACAACAAAAACACCAAAAAUUGUUACAACGGGACCAACAACAUUCUCUACCACAGCUAUUGUUGAAACCACGACCACAGUU
rnacentral:lncRNA from 1 species